GUUAAGCGACUAAGCGUACACGGUGGAUGCCCUGGCAGUCAGAGGCGAUGAAGGACGUGCUAAUCUGCGAUAAGCGUCGGUAAGGUGAUAUGAACCGUUAUAACCGGCGAUUUCCGAAUGGGGAAACCCAGUGUGUUUCGACACACUAUCAUUAACUGAAUCCAUAGGUUAAUGAGGCGAACCGGGGGAACUGAAACAUCUAAGUACCCCGAGGAAAAGAAAUCAACCGAGAUUCCCCCAGUAGCGGCGAGCGAACGGGGAGCAGCCCAGAGCCUGAAUCAGUGUGUGUGUUAGUGGAAGCGUCUGGAAAGGCGCGCGAUACAGGGUGACAGCCCCGUACACAAAAAUGCACAUGCUGUGAGCUCGAUGAGUAGGGCGGGACACGUGGUAUCCUGUCUGAAUAUGGGGGGACCAUCCUCCAAGGCUAAAUACUCCUGACUGACCGAUAGUGAACCAGUACCGUGAGGGAAAGGCGAAAAGAACCCCGGCGAGGGGAGUGAAAAAGAACCUGAAACCGUGUACGUACAAGCAGUGGGAGCACGCUUAGGCGUGUGACUGCGUACCUUUUGUAUAAUGGGUCAGCGACUUAUAUUCUGUAGCAAGGUUAACCGAAUAGGGGAGCCGAAGGGAAACCGAGUCUUAACUGGGCGUUAAGUUGCAGGGUAUAGACCCGAAACCCGGUGAUCUAGCCAUGGGCAGGUUGAAGGUUGGGUAACACUAACUGGAGGACCGAACCGACUAAUGUUGAAAAAUUAGCGGAUGACUUGUGGCUGGGGGUGAAAGGCCAAUCAAACCGGGAGAUAGCUGGUUCUCCCCGAAAGCUAUUUAGGUAGCGCCUCGUGAAUUCAUCUCCGGGGGUAGAGCACUGUUUCGGCAAGGGGGUCAUCCCGACUUACCAACCCGAUGCAAACUGCGAAUACCGGAGAAUGUUAUCACGGGAGACACACGGCGGGUGCUAACGUCCGUCGUGAAGAGGGAAACAACCCAGACCGCCAGCUAAGGUCCCAAAGUCAUGGUUAAGUGGGAAACGAUGUGGGAAGGCCCAGACAGCCAGGAUGUUGGCUUAGAAGCAGCCAUCAUUUAAAGAAAGCGUAAUAGCUCACUGGUCGAGUCGGCCUGCGCGGAAGAUGUAACGGGGCUAAACCAUGCACCGAAGCUGCGGCAGCGACGCUUAUGCGUUGUUGGGUAGGGGAGCGUUCUGUAAGCCUGUGAAGGUGUGCUGUGAGGCAUGCUGGAGGUAUCAGAAGUGCGAAUGCUGACAUAAGUAACGAUAAAGCGGGUGAAAAGCCCGCUCGCCGGAAGACCAAGGGUUCCUGUCCAACGUUAAUCGGGGCAGGGUGAGUCGACCCCUAAGGCGAGGCCGAAAGGCGUAGUCGAUGGGAAACAGGUUAAUAUUCCUGUACUUGGUGUUACUGCGAAGGGGGGACGGAGAAGGCUAUGUUGGCCGGGCGACGGUUGUCCCGGUUUAAGCGUGUAGGCUGGUUUUCCAGGCAAAUCCGGAAAAUCAAGGCUGAGGCGUGAUGACGAGGCACUACGGUGCUGAAGCAACAAAUGCCCUGCUUCCAGGAAAAGCCUCUAAGCAUCAGGUAACAUCAAAUCGUACCCCAAACCGACACAGGUGGUCAGGUAGAGAAUACCAAGGCGCUUGAGAGAACUCGGGUGAAGGAACUAGGCAAAAUGGUGCCGUAACUUCGGGAGAAGGCACGCUGAUAUGUAGGUGAAGUCCCUCGCGGAUGGAGCUGAAAUCAGUCGAAGAUACCAGCUGGCUGCAACUGUUUAUUAAAAACACAGCACUGUGCAAACACGAAAGUGGACGUAUACGGUGUGACGCCUGCCCGGUGCCGGAAGGUUAAUUGAUGGGGUUAGCGGUAACGCGAAGCUCUUGAUCGAAGCCCCGGUAAACGGCGGCCGUAACUAUAACGGUCCUAAGGUAGCGAAAUUCCUUGUCGGGUAAGUUCCGACCUGCACGAAUGGCGUAAUGAUGGCCAGGCUGUCUCCACCCGAGACUCAGUGAAAUUGAACUCGCUGUGAAGAUGCAGUGUACCCGCGGCAAGACGGAAAGACCCCGUGAACCUUUACUAUAGCUUGACACUGAACAUUGAGCCUUGAUGUGUAGGAUAGGUGGGAGGCUUAGAAGUGUGGACGCCAGUCUGCAUGGAGCCGACCUUGAAAUACCACCCUUUAAUGUUUGAUGUUCUAACGUUGACCCGUAAUCCGGGUUGCGGACAGUGUCUGGUGGGUAGUUUGACUGGGGCGGUCUCCUCCUAAAGAGUAACGGAGGAGCACGAAGGUUGGCUAAUCCUGGUCGGACAUCAGGAGGUUAGUGCAAUGGCAUAAGCCAGCUUGACUGCGAGCGUGACGGCGCGAGCAGGUGCGAAAGCAGGUCAUAGUGAUCCGGUGGUUCUGAAUGGAAGGGCCAUCGCUCAACGGAUAAAAGGUACUCCGGGGAUAACAGGCUGAUACCGCCCAAGAGUUCAUAUCGACGGCGGUGUUUGGCACCUCGAUGUCGGCUCAUCACAUCCUGGGGCUGAAGUAGGUCCCAAGGGUAUGGCUGUUCGCCAUUUAAAGUGGUACGCGAGCUGGGUUUAGAACGUCGUGAGACAGUUCGGUCCCUAUCUGCCGUGGGCGCUGGAGAACUGAGGGGGGCUGCUCCUAGUACGAGAGGACCGGAGUGGACGCAUCACUGGUGUUCGGGUUGUCAUGCCAAUGGCACUGCCCGGUAGCUAAAUGCGGAAGAGAUAAGUGCUGAAAGCAUCUAAGCACGAAACUUGCCCCGAGAUGAGUUCUCCCUGACUCCUUGAGAGUCCUGAAGGAACGUUGAAGACGACGACGUUGAUAGGCCGGGUGUGUAAGCGCAGCGAUGCGUUGAGCUAACCGGUACUAAUGAACCGUGAGG
rnacentral:rRNA from 1 species